GAUGAACGCUGGCGGCGUGCCUAAUACAUGCAAGUCGAGCGAACAGACGAGGAGGUUGCUCCUCUGUCGUUAGCGGCGGACGUGUGAGUAACACGUGGAUUACCUACCUCUGUGACUUGGGUCACUUCGGGAAACCGUAGCUAAUACCGGAUAAUCUAUUGACCCGCACGGUUCCAUAGUCUAAGACGUUUUUGUUGUCUCUUAUUGAUGGAUCCGCGCCGCAUUAGCUAGUUGGUAAGGUAACGGCUUACCAAGGCAACGAUGCGUAGCCGACCUGGGAGGGUGGUCGGCCACACUGGAAGUGAGACACGGUCCAGACUCCUACGGGAGGCAGCAGUAGGGAAUCUUCCGCAAUGGGCGAAAGCCUGACGGAGCAACGCCGCGUGAGUGAUGAAGGUCUUCGGAUCGUAAAACUCUGUUAUUAGGGAAGAACAAAUGUGUAAGUAACUAUGCACGUCUUAACGGUACCUAAUCAGAAAGACACGGCUAACUACGUG
rnacentral:rRNA from 1 species